GCCAGUGUGGCGCAAUGGUUUGAGUGUUGGACUACAACUCUAGAGACCAGGGUUCGAGUCCCCACUCAGCCA